rnacentral:rRNA from 1 species
CCUACGGGUGGCAGCAGUGGGGAAUAUUGGGCAAUGGGCGCAAGCCUGACCCAGCAACGCCGCGUGAAGGAAGAAGGCUUUCGGGUUGUAAACUUCUUUUCUCAGGGACGAAUAGAUUACGGUACCUGAGGAAUUAUCCACGGCUAACUACGUGCCAGCAGCCGCGGUAAUACGUAGGUGGCAAGCGUUAUCCGGAUUUACUGGGUGUAAAGGGCGUGUAGGCGGGGACGCAAGUCAGAUGUGAAAACCACGGGCUCAACCUGUGGCCUGCAUUUGAAACUGGGUUUCGUGAGUACUGGAGAGGCAGACGGAAUUCGUAGUGUAGCGGUGAAAUGCGUAGAUAUUAGGAGGAACACCAGUGGCGAAGGCGGUCUGCUGGACAGCAACUGACGCUGAGGCGCGAAAGCGUGGGGAGCAAACAGGAUUAGAUACCCGGGUAGUC